rnacentral:tRNA from 1 species
GGAGAGAUGGCCGAGUCCGGUCGAAGGCGCCCGACUCGAAAUCGGGUAGGGUGUGAUGAGCGCCCUCGUGGGUUCGAAUCCCACUCUCUCCGCCA